GCGGCGCCUGUACUGACUCUAGGAAGGGCUGGAGUUGUUUUGAAUGGGCGCCCGUAAGAGAGGUGGGCAAGUACGUGUUACAGACGGCCACGCCGCCCUUUAGGCGGUCAAGGUGGGGCGAGGAGACGUUCGCCCCCCUGCAGUCGGCCGGGUCACUACCCAAGAGCCUUUGGAGGCGGAAGCAUGGAACGGUCUGCAAACGUUCCCGAGCGGGCCUCUGCGGCUCUGGCGGGCGUUUCGAACUUGGGCGCCGGGCACACGCCCAGUCCCGAGAGCGCUGAGGGUUCCCUUAGCGUCGCCCUCACCCCGGCCAACCCGCGGGGCGCCAGAGUCCUGGCCCUUUAAACGCCGCGCGUGCCUCGGCGUCUUCGUUUCGCGCGCCCGCCCGCGGCGCCGGCGGAGCGAACAUGGACCCGGCUGCGCGGGUGGUGCGGGCGCUGUGGCCUGGUGGGUGCGCCUUGGCCUGGAGGCUGGGAGGCCGCCCCCAGCCGCUGCUACCCACGCAGAGCCGGGCUGGCUUCGCGGGGGCGGCGGGCGGCCCGAGCCCCGUGGCUGCAGCUCGUAAGGGGAGCCCGCGGCUGCUGGGAGCUGCGGCGCUGGCCCUGGGGGGAGCCCUGGGGCUGUACCACACGGCGCGGUGGCACCUGCGCGCCCAGGACCUCCACGCAGAGCGCUCAGCCGCGCAGCUCUCCCUGUCCAGCCGCCUGCAGCUGACCCUGUACCAGUACAAGACGUGUCCCUUCUGCAGCAAGGUCCGAGCCUUCCUCGACUUCCAUGCCCUGCCCUACCAGGUGGUGGAGGUGAACCCUGUGCGCAGGGCUGAGAUCAAGUUCUCCUCCUACAGAAAGGUGCCCAUCCUGGUGGCCCAGGAAGGAGAAAGCUCGCAACAACUAAAUGACUCCUCUGUCAUCAUCAGCGCCCUCAAGACCUACCUGGUGUCGGGGCAGCCCCUGGAAGAGAUCAUCACCUACUACCCAGCCAUGAAGGCUGUGAACGAGCAGGGCAAGGAGGUGACCGAGUUCGGCAAUAAGUACUGGCUCAUGCUCAACGAGAAGGAGGCCCAGCAAGUGUAUGGUGGGAAGGAGGCCAGGACGGAGGAGAUGAAGUGGCGGCAGUGGGCGGACGACUGGCUGGUGCACCUGAUCUCCCCCAAUGUGUACCGCACGCCCACCGAGGCUCUGGCGUCCUUUGACUACAUUGUCCGCGAGGGCAAGUUCGGAGCCGUGGAGGGUGCCGUGGCCAAGUACAUGGGUGCAGCGGCCAUGUACCUCAUCAGCAAGCGACUCAAGAGCAGGCAAGUGUGUGUGCACAUCCGGGGCCUGCUGUCCCCGAGCCUCCGGUGCCACGAGCAGUGGUGAUCCCAUCACACCCCUCAGGAGACCAGCGGGAGGCCGAGGCCUAGGGCAGGUGGGAAACGCAUUAUGGAUUAUGGGUCCCUUGGCCAAGAUGGGACUUGGACCCAGAGCUCCUGCUCACCUCCCCUGGGGACAGCAGGGCUGGCCUUGAAGCCGGAAGCCUGGGCCCUGACUGGCGCCUCCUCUGUGGCUUUCUCCCUGGCCUGGUCUCUUGCCUUUACCACAGCCUCCCCGUCUGGGACGGAUGCUCCCUGAGGCGUCUGCAGAUGUGAUGCUCUCACCUGGGGUGCCGUCCUGGCUUCCACACCUCCCCCCUCUCCCCAGAGGAGACCCUCUUCCCUGCUGGGCUGGGAGUGGGGGCUCCCCUGAGGGGCUUUUCCCUUCCCCGCCCAGGCACCGCCUCCAGGACAACGUGCGCGAGGACCUCUAUGAGGCUGCUGACAAGUGGGUGGCUGCUGUGGGCAAGGACCGGCCCUUCAUGGGGGGCCAGAAGCCGAAUCUCGCUGAUUUGAAGGAGAUCCGGUUGGCAGCUAAACCGCGCUGGGAACAGGGGCCUGAGUCCUGGACUAGGGCUCUUUCCCCGGGGCUGCUGCAGAUGGGGAGGAGCCUACACCCGCCUCCCGAGUGCUAAUCAGACCUGACAGGCUGGAGAAUGGCCAGUCAGCCUGAGGCCACCGCGGGACACCACCUAGGCCCAGCUUCUCCCCCCACCAGAGGGCGCCAGAGCCCGCCAAGCCUCGUAGGAGAUGGCAACAGGGCCUGCUGCUGCCACCUAGCGGCCAAUUCCGGGAAUGAAUCUCGGCACGCUCAUUACCCAGCGACUCUGCCCAUCUUGACCCUUUAUGUGAAGCAGAACAGCCGCUUCCGCAGUGAGCUGUCAGAAGGCGUCGUGCCUGUCUUGCUAGUGGGGAAACUGAGGCUCAGAGAGGCAGAAGACUUGCCCAAGAUCACACCACCGGGACCCAGGAUUCAAGCGCAGGCCUGCCCAGGCUCUCUGUGGCCUCCUGGCUGCGAGGAGGCAGCCAGGGACCAGGUGCCACCCUUCUGAGACACCUGAGAUCCCAGGCCCGAGAGGAUGAAGGCGGGAUUACCUGGAGCGUGUCUGAAUGCUGGAGGAAGAAGGGCAGCUGGGAGAUGAAGCUGUCAGGAUGGGCCGCAUCCCAUUUCCUGCCUCGUUUCAGUUCAACUUUCCAACAGACCUCCCUGGCUCGUCUUGCUCUUCUCUAAUGGACAAACAAACAGGCUCAGAGAGGUGGUGUGACUUGCCCAAGGUCACUCAGCUUGGAUGCUAUGGAACAGGGACGUCCACUGUCCCAGUCUGUUUAUGGGAAGCCGCUCUGCAACUGUCCUGACCCACCACAUGCCCCACCGCUGUUUCUCUUGCCCUGACCCCUUGUUCCCUGGACCAGGGUGGCACAGCUCCAGGCUCUUGGGCCCUUCCCGAGGGCAGGCACCUGUGACUGUGUCCCCAAAGACCUGAGUGGCUGAGGGGGCCCCACAGAGCUUGGACUUCCUGGAGGACAAGGAGGGGUCUGCCAGCCACCCCCACCACGCCCGCCCCAGGGCUCCCCUGGAGCUUCCAUGCCAGCCGGACUCAGGUGGGUCUGGAGGAGCACCGUGCCUCCAAUCAGACCUUGAGAUGUGCCCCCUGCCCCCACUGUGCCCUCCCCUGCCCAGGAGUCUGGUUGCAAACCCUGAUUAAGGGGAUUUUAUCUCCACCAGAGGGCCAGUAGGUGGGAAGUAGCUUAAACAAUGCAGGUUUAUAAUCUCACAGUUCUGGAGGUCAAGAGUCUGAAAUGGGCCUCAUGGGGCUAAAACCAAGGUGUCUGCAGGGCUGUGUUCCUUCUGGAGGCUCCAGGGCAGGAAGGGGAGGAUCCACUUCUGUGCCUUUCCAGCUUCUAGAGGCUGCCUGCGUUCCUUGGCUCGUGGCCCCUUCCUCCACCUUCAAGCCAGCAGCGGAGGCCUGAGUCCUUCUCAUGCCAUCUCUCUGUUCUCUCUCCUGCCUCCUCCUCCACACUGAAGGACCCCUGUGAUCACACUGGCCCCCCCACCGGAUGACCCAGGAUAAUCCAUCUCCCUGUUUGAAGGUCGGCUGAUUAGCAACCUUCAUUCCAUCUGCCUCCUUCAUUCCCCCUGGCCAUGUAAUGGGAUUCACAGCUUCUGGGGAUUAGGACAUGGACAUCUUGUGGCGGGGGCAUAAUUCUGUCGACGACACCAAGAAACACUUGGAUGUUAAGGAUUCACCGAACACUGUUCAGGCUCCAGGUGCUGGGAGCAGCAGUGAACAAAGCCAACAGACACUGCCACCCUCAAGGAGUUCACGUUCAUGGGCGAGGGAACAGAUGAGAAACCCGGCAAUGAAAGCUCCACCAUCUCUUCCCCUAAAGGCAACCACCAUUCUGAUUUCUCUCACCAAAGACUGGAAAAAUAUCCCAAUACCUGGAUGUAUGCCUCACGUGUCCCGCUGGCCCCAGCACCCAGGUAUAGUUAGUUACUGCUGUGCCUGGCUUCACUCUCACUUUUUUUUUUUUUUUCUUUUUUUGAGACAUAGUCUCGCUCUGUAGCCCAGGCUGGAGUGCAGUGUGGCACAAUCUCAGCUCACUGCAACCUUCACCUCCCAGGUUCAAGCGAUUCUCCUGCCUCAGCCUCUCGAGUAGCUGCGACUACAGGUGCCCACCACCACACCUGGCUAAUUUUUGUAUUUUUAGUAGAGAUGGGGUUUCACCUUGUUGGCCAGGCUGGUCUCGAACUCCUGACCUCAAGUGAUCCACCUGCCUCAGCCUCCCAAGGUGCUGGGAUUGCAGGCCGGCCUUACCUGGUAUGGUUUUUAGGUUCAUGUUGAUGCCUGGAGUUUCAGUAAUUCCCUCCCAUUCGUUGCUGAGUAGCACUGCAACACAUGCAGGCAGCUAUUUGGGGAUCUUUUCACCUGUUGAUGGGUGUCUGGACUGUUUCCAGUUUUUGGCUGUUACAAAUGAAGCCUCUGUGAGCCACGUACAAGUUCUUCUGUGGAUGUUUUCAUUUAGGGAAAGGGGUAAAUAGGAGUGGAAGUGCUGGGUCACAGGGCAAAUGUCCAUUUGAGUUUAUUAGAAACAAUUCUCCAAAAUGAUUGGCAUUUUACCUUGUACUAGCAGAGUCUAGGAGUGUGGCUGCUCCCAGAUUCUCAUCAAACUACAGUGCUGACAUCUUUAGUUCUAGGCCUUCUAGUGUGGAUGCACUGGUAUCUUGUUAAAUGCUUUUAACUGUUUUGGUAGAGAUGGGGCCUUGCUGUAUUGCAUAGUCUGGUCUUGAACACCUGGCCUCAAGUGAUCUCCAGCCUCACCCUCCCGAAGUGCUGGGAUUACAGGUGUGAGCCACUGCUCUGGGCCUCAUUCAGUGUUUUGCUUCUCCCUGACAACUAAUGGAGUUAAGCUCGUUUUCAUGUUUAUUGGCCAUUAAGUCAUCUUGCUUUUGGAAGUGCCAAUUGUUAACUGGCUUGUCCUCUUCUUUUUGCCUUACACAGUUAAUACAUGCUGGAGAUUACAUGUACUGCAAAGAUUUUCUCCUAGCCGGUGACUUGUCUUUUUCGUUUUUGUUUCUGUUUUUUUUUUUUUCUUUUUUUUUCUUUUCUUUUUUUCUGAGAUGGAGUCUCCUCGCUCUAUCGCCCAGGCUGGAGUGCAGUGGCAUGAUCUCAGCUCACUGAAACCACUGCCUCCCGGGUUCACGUGAUUGUCCUGUCUCAGCCUCCCGAGUAGCUGGGAUUACAGGCAUGCGCCACCAAGCACAGCUAAUUUUUGUAUUUUUAGUAGAGAUGGGGUUUUGCCAUGUUGGCCAGGCUGGUCUUAAACUCCUGACCUCAGGUGAUCCGCCCACCUCGGUCUCCCAAAGUGCUGGGAUUACAGGCGUGAGCCACCGCGCCUGCCCAGCUUAUCUAUUCAUUGGAGGAUCUGAGUGACAUGAGAAACUUAGGUUUUCUUUUUUUGAGACAGAGUCUUACUCUGUCGCCCAGGCUGGAGUGCAGUGGCAUGAUCUCGGCUCACCACAACCUCUGCCUCCUGGGUUCAAGCCAUUCUCCUGCCUCAGCCUCUGGAGUAGCUGGGAUUAUAGGCACCUGUCAUCACACCUGGCUAUCCACUUAGGUUUUCAAAGGGCCCCUUGGUCUUGGGGUGGAGAGUGAAGGGAAGCAGGGGGAAGAAGUUUAGGUCUUGCAAUCAUCCAGGUGAGACAUGAUAUUGUCUUUGAUCAGUGGCAGGGGUGGAGGUCGGGAGAAGCGGCCAGAGAGCAGAUCUAUUUUGCGGGUGGGGCUGACGGUAUUUGCUGGUGGACUGCCCUGGAACCAGAGGGAAGUACAGAGUCAGGUUGACUACAAGGUGUUUGGCUUAAGUUCGUAGAAGAAAGGAGUUGCCAUUUGCUGGCAUGAGGAAAAUGAAGAAGCAGAUUUUGGGAGGAAAAUGAAGGGUUCGGCUUCUGACAUGCUGAACUCGAGGUGCUGUUUAAGUGGAUGUGGAUUUCACAGUUGUACUGAUGAAGCUGGAAUUCGUUCAAGUAUCAAAGGAGUGUCAUCUAAAUAUAGAUAUUGAAGGUAAUCCUCAGUCAGAUGAGGUUACUGAGAGGGUGUGAGGAGGCAGGAGCGGGGUGAGGCUGGGAGGGGCAGCUGGGGGGAGGGGAGAGAAGCCCAGCGACGUCCUCGGUGUCUGUGAAGAUGGCACUUCCGGCGGAGGGAGAGAUCCCCCGCACCCUGCCUGAGACAGGCUGAGGAACGACCCUACACAGCAACUCAGGGCACCCCAAAUCGAACACGCAACCAUUAAAGAGGGAGCGCCUCUAAGAAGCCGAAAGGGGGCACCACCAGGCUCCAGAGGGGAAAACAGGGCGCAUUUUCUAACAUGUCAGCACCCCCAGACCACCCAGGCCCCCGUCAGAAAAAUACUGGCUCCAUGAUCAGCUUUGAAACAACUUUAUUAGAAGGCUGCUUUAAAUGACAACUUCUAACGUCCAAUUCUUUCUUAAUUUGCUUUUUGACGACUCCAGUUAUAUGUUCAUAUAUAACAAUUUUUGCAUUGAUCUUUGCAUCCUAUUGAAGAUUUCCUCAUCAGGUCAUUCUGGUGGAAUGGAAGUGCAACCGUGAGGUCGCCAGUUGGCCGGCAUUGUUAAGCAAGGGCAGCAGAAGGCUGGGAGGGACGGAGCCAGUCCCCCACCCUCUCCUCCAGCCCCCGCCCACCACAAAUUCACAGUGAGAGGCACCUCACUGCCUUGACAUUCAGAAAAGAGUGAAAUAAAGAAACCCUCGCAGCGCAGGAAAUAACUGGAUUCCACCUUCAAGGUUAUUGAGGUUCCUCCCUCUCUCUCCACGCCCCCAGUCAAACCCUGAAAUCCUAAGGCUGGGGGCAAGCCCUUCCCCAACCUGCCAAAGGAAAGGAGCCAGGGCUGCUGCCUUCUGGCCGCUUUUCUGCCUCCAGUCCCAAAAGGAAUUUCUCUGGACAGAUGUGACUGCAGCGGCCCAAGGCCCCCCUUCUCCUCCUCCUCCCAUCCCACUGGGCGGGCUUGGGAAGGUACAAUCAACCAUGAACAUAAAUAUGAAUAAAAAAUGAACUUGAAAAUGACAAGCUAUUAAUUAAACAAAUCUAUAAAAAUAGUUAGGACAUAACUCUGUUCAAAUAAAUACAAAAUAAAUAGGUUCCAAGCAGUGACACAAGUGGAAUGUGGGGCUGGUCCCGCUGCGCCCCUGCUGGGGUUGGACAGGAACCCCCAGGGCGUCAGAACAGACUCUGAGCAGUCAGCCAAGCUCCUGCUCCCUCGUCUUCCUCUGGAAGCACAGAAGUCGCUCAUUUGUCCGGCUUGUCCUUCUGGACAAAACCCUUUUCCCAACAGUCCAUAAUUAAGGCCUCCAACACCUUUUCCUUCCCUCCCCAGAACACACAAACGCUCUGCCCUUCGCCCUCAAACAUGGUGCUCCACUGCCCUCAUGCCACAGUGGGGACAGUGAGUUUGGUUCUGAGGUGGGGCCCAUCCUGA
rnacentral:lncRNA from 1 species